rnacentral:rRNA from 1 species
GACGAACGCUGGCGGCGUGCUUAACACAUGCAAGUCGAACGGAAAGGCCCUGCUUGCAGGGUACUCGAGUGGCGAACGGGUGAGUAACACGUGGGUGAUCUGCCCUGCACUUCGGGAUAAGCUUGGGAAACUGGGUCUAAUACCGGAUAGGAGCCAUCUUUAGUGUGGUGGUUGGAAAGUUUUUUCGGUGUAGGAUGAGCUCGCGGCCUAUCAGCCUGUUGGUGGGGUAAUGGCCUACCAAGGCGGCGACGGGUAGCCGGCCUGAGAGGGUGUACGGCCACAUUGGGACUGAGAUACGGCCCAGACUCCUACGGGAGGCAGCAGUGGGGAAUAUUGCACAAUGGACGCAAGCCUGAUGCAGCGACGCCGCGUGGGGGAUGAAGGCCUUCGGGUUGUAAACUCCUUUCGCUAGGGACGAAGCUUUUUUGUGACGGUACCUAGAUAAGAAGCACCGGCUAACUACGUG